UGUUGAUUUAAGCAGAGUCUUUGUGCCCAGCGGAAGGAUGAGGAAAAUGUGUUACAUACUCUAUAUUGCUUUAUUUACAGUUCAAAGCUGGUAUAUUACAGAAAGACAUCUUGCCCUGCCGGAGCAGAAAAUGCAUCCUCUCUCCUCGACAGCUUGGAGAGAAUCACCACAGUGAAAAACAGGAAACCAGUGUACGUCACAUCCAGUCUCCCUUUCCCGUGAGAAACUCCAACAGUACAGACUGUGGAAUGUAAACACCUGUCUUGUGACUGCAGUUGCUGCUCAGUGAGGGAAAUAGAAACCAACAUCCUCCCCUUUCUGUGAACAUCACUGGGCAGCGUGUUCGUACAAUAUCAGUACAAACCCAACUUCUGCACAUAGGUACAGUGUUGAUCCCUUGAUACAAUCUUGGACAAUACAUCAGCAGGAAUUUCAUUACCUGGCAUAUAGGACACCGUUACGAGUCCCUUCUGAAUACAUUCCCUAGCAUGCUGCAACUUUAAUUGCAAGUGCUUUGUGCUUUGCUUACAACCUUCAGACUUCAGCAAAGCCAAACAUGCUUUGUUGUCCUGGUAAACCUGGAUUGGACAUUUGACAGGAAUUUUCAUAUCUUUGCACAAUUGUACUAACCAUUCACAAUCCUUAAGUGAAUAAGACAGUGCAUUCAGUUCAGCUUCACAAGUACUUAAGCUAACUGUUGUUUGCUUCUUGCAUGACCAAUCAAACAGACUCUGAUUGUACAUGUAGCAAACUCCAGACGUACUUUUCCUGUCUGUAGCGUCACUUCCAAAACUUGCAUCUGCAAAUAUCUCAAGACCACCAGACUUCUGAUUGUUAAAUCUCAGUCUGUAAUGCAUAGUGCCUUUCAAAUACCGCGCUAUGCGUUUCAGAGCUUUCCAAUCCUUGACACUAGGAUUGUUGACUUGUCUGCUUAGCAAAUUACAGCUAACAGCAAUGUCUGGUCUUGAACAUCUGGCAAUGAAGUUUAGCUUGCCUAGCACACUCCUGUACAGUGUAGUGUCAGAAAAUGCUUCUUCAGUGUCAUCUACCUGAUAACCUGUUGUCAUCGGUGUGUCUACAGGGUUAGCAUCCAUCAGAUUUAGUUUGCUUAACACAUCAGCAAUUUUCCGUGACUGGUGUACUAGAAUGUUACCAUCUUGAUCUCUCUCUAUUUCCAGAGAUAGGUAGUUGUUUACCUCACCAAGAUCUUUCAUGUCAAAGUGCUCUUUCAGUUGAGCUAGGGCGCUAUUGUACAUUGCAACAUCUUUCCAAAAGAAUAAUAAAUCAUCAACAUAAAACAAACAGUACAGUUUCUUUUGCCCCUCCUCUUUGACAAAUACACAUGGAUCAGCUUUCCCUUGCUGAAAACCUAGAGAAAACAAUACUUCAGUGAGUUUUGUGUGCCAACACCGUGCACUUUGUUUGAGACCAUAAAGGGAUUUCUUCAGAGCACAAACAAAUCCCUGUUUUACCUGUACGCCAUCAGGUGGAAGCAUAUAAAGUGAUUCAUCUAGAGAUCCGUACAGAAAAGCUGUAUUAAUAUCAUGGUGACUAAUGUGUAGAUUUUCCUCUGCAGCUAGCUUAAGCAUAAGCCUAAUGCUUUCAUAUCUCACUGUGGGUGAAUAGGUCUCGUGAUAGUCUUCACCUGGUACCUGUGCAAAACCUCUGGCUACCAAUCUGGCUUUGUGUCUGACUAUCUUGCCAUUUUGAUCUGUCUUCGCUUUGAAGACCCAUUUGCUUCCAAGCAGUUUCAUUCCUGGAACUACUGGAACUAGCUCCCAUGUUUUGUUCCUUUCUAAGGAAUCAAGCUCAGCCUUCAUGGCAUUUAACCAUGGCUCAGCUUCCUUUGAAUCCAAACCCUGGAUUUCUUGGAAACUUGAAGGUUCAAAUACCUUCUUGGAGCUUUUAACAGCUGUUACUGCUAUCGUAGCAAACUCAUCAGCAAAUCUCUUUGGAGGUUUGCCUUUGUGGCUCUCUGUGACCUACGAAUUAGCCUUAAGUCUUCAACACUCUCCUCUUCCUUCUUAGGAGAAAAACGACCUAUUGUGAACAAUGGUUCCUCCAAUUCUUGAUCAGAGCUUUCAGAGGGUCGCAUAGAGGCUUUCGCACUCUUGAAAUCCUCUGAAUCACCCGAUUCAGUUUCAGAUUCAGACUCAGAACCUUCAUCAGUGGGUGUGGGCUGUUGUGGUUGCUUUUGACUAUCCUCAGUCUCAUCACCGUCAUCAGGAUAACAUUGGAAAAUUCCCACAUUCUCCCCCACUUUGCAUUGUACUCAACACUUCUCGUGAGCUUAAUUGUCUUAGAGUCAGUCAUCAUUAUUCUGUAAGACCCUUUCUGAUAACCUAGAAAGAUACCAUGCAAUCCACGCUUGUCUAACUUGGAGUUUUGUGGUGAGCGAACCCACAUGUCAGAACCAAAAAUCUUCAUGUGUUUGAUGUAUGGCUUCUUGCCAAACAUCUUCUCAUAGGGGGUACAACCAAUCGCUGAAGAUAGCCUGCGAUUGUAACUGUAAACAAAACACGAGAGAGAUUCGGCCCAAUAACUCUCUGGAAGAUUGGCAUCAUGCAGCAAGGUUUUUAACCCUUGAAGCAAAGUCUGAUUUGCCCGUUCCGCAAGUCCAUUCUGCCAUGGCGAGCGAGGACUAGACAAAUCGUGUUGAAUUCCUUUCUCAGUCAGAAAAGCUUCAAACUGCUGAGAAGUGAAUUCCCCCCCGCGAUCACUGAAAAGAGUCUUUAUCUUCUUACCAUGCACAUUUUCCAACCAAGCACAGAAUUCCUUGAACCUAGGAAAAGCCUCCGAUUUCUGCUUGAGAUUGUACACAAAAAUAUAUCUAGAAAAUGCAUCAAUGAGAACCAUGAAGUAUCUAUUUCCACCCAAAGAGGGCGAUAGUGGUCCAACCAAAUCAGCAUGAACAACCUGGUAUGGUUCUGUAGCUUUCCUACUAGACACCUUACCUUUCGCAGCCAUUUUCACCUUGUUUGCUGCGCAUGCUUUGCACUUCAUGUGGUACCUGCAGGGUUUAAUAGUCAUACCUUCAACCAAGGCAGGCAUUUUAGAUACUGCCUCAAAAUGCAAAUGACCAAAUUUGCGAUGAAAAUCGUGAAUACAUUCUGCAUGCAAACUUUUGUUAGAACCUGCAAUGCAACAAGUGUCAUCCUGCACCACAUCAUCAUAAUACAAAACAAACAAAUGAUCAACAUAUUCUGCAUGCAAUACAUAAUCAUUUUUCUUUGUGAUGAUGCACUUCUUGUUCUUGAAGGAAACGUCAAUGUUCCGCUCAUUCAGCUGUCCAACGCUGAGCAGAUUAUGUUUGGCGUCUGGCACGUAAAGCACAUUCUGUAUCGAUAAGUCCAAACUGUGAAGAACAACAGUUCCGUAGCCUUUACUGGGAAUAGUGUGGUCAUCCGCCUGGUGAAUCGCACCUUCCUGCGGUGUAAAAGACACAAACAGUUUCUUAUCGUUGCACAUGUGGUGGGUGGCCGCUGAAUCAACAACGAAGAAAGAUCUAGACGUCUUCUGGACCUCUGCAACCUUUGGAGUGAAGCGUGAAACCAUAGCCUUGUGCUGCGUUGUCCUAGACACCGGACCUUUGCCUUUGCCUCGGCCUUUUCCGCGCGAUGAGCUUUCGCUGCGCUGCUCUGUCUUGGCCCUGGGAUGUCUGCAUUCCCUCUUCAUAUGGCCUAGACGUCCACAUGAGUAGCAUUUCACUGCCUUCAAAGCUUUGGCGCCAUCUGGUGGUUCCACUGCACUAUGGGAUGACGUCUGUGAAGACUCCCCUUGCCCAUGCAGCUAGCACCCCGGCGAUCUGCUUCAUUUAAAAUCACGGCAGUAACAAAGUCCACUGUCAGCUGAGCAGUUGGUUGCACAGCAAUCUGGGUUGCAACAGACUCCCAACCUGAACCCAAAGAUUGUAGUAUCAUGAAAGAAUACACAGCCUCUGGAAAGUUGAGUCCUCUCUGUUGCAGCUCAUGUCUCAGAUUUUGCAUCUGCAUCAGAUGUAAACGCACAUCUCCACCUUCAGCAAGAGCCAUAUUAUGCAGCUUGUUAAAAUAAAACAUAGUGGAUCCAGCUUCUGUCCUUAAGUGAGCCUCUCUCAGAGCGUCCCAAAUUUCUCUGGCUGAGGUCUUAUCACGCAAUAGACAGAGCUCUUCUGGGGAUACUAUCAAUGUAAGAGUUCCCCUUGCUUUGGAAUCCUUAGCUUCCCAUGCAUCUGUAACUGGAACUGGGGGUUCCUGUAAUCACCUCAAACAAACCCUCUUUCCGCAGAAUUGCCUCUGCAUACUGAACCCAGUCGCUGUAAUUUUUCUUGUUGAGCUUAGGAAUCCCACAAGCAUCCUGAAGGGCCAUCAUGACUCUGGCAUUAGCCUUCAGCGUCAUAUGCUGCUUUAAAUCUUGCUGCGUCACUGCUGCAGCUGCCUCAUUACAAAGGCACACUUAAAAGUUACUUUCGAUUUCCCAGCAUAGUGACUUGUGCCUGGGAGCCUUUUGCCUAUUCCCGCAAAACCGGCUUUAAAAGUUCAAAGUCCAGCCAUAAAGCCAUUAUCUUGAAGCUGGCAGGCUGCCCGGAGCAGUAGCACAUACCUCAUCAAUCACUUCUACGCGCAGAGCAGAUUCCUUUCCGAUCCGUCCCUCUGCAUUCCGAUCCUCUGCCGGCACUCCGAUUCGACCUCUGGAGUCCAUAACCACGUGUUGAUUUAAAGCAGAGUCUGUUGUGCCCAGCGGAAGGAUGAGGAAAAUGUGUUACAUACUCUAUAUUGCUUUAUUUACAGUUCAAAGCUGGUAUAUUACAGAAAGACAUCUUGCCUCUGCCGGAGCAGAAAAUGCAUCCUCUCUCCUCGACAGCUUGGAGAGAAUCACACAGUGAAAAACAGGAAACCAGUGUACGUCACAUCCAGUCUCCCUUUCCCGUGAGAAACUCCAACAGUACAGACUGUGGAAUGUAAACACCUGUCUUGUGACUGCAGUUGCUGCUCAGUGAGGGAAAUAGAAACCAACAC
rnacentral:lncRNA from 1 species